AACGAACGCUGGCGGCAUGCCUAACACAUGCAAGUCGAACGAGACCUUCGGGUCGAGUGGAGAACGGGUGCGUAAGGCGUGGGAACCUGCCAUUAGGUUCGGAAUAACUCCCCGAAAGGGGUGGUAAUACCGGAUAAUGUCUUCGGGCCAAAGAUUUAUCGCCUUUGGAUGGGCCCGCGUUGGAUUAGCUAGUUGGUAGGGUGAAAGCCUACCAAGGCGACGAUCCAUAGCUGGUCGGAGAGGAUGAUCAGCCACACUGGGACUGAGACACGGCCCAGACUCCUACGGGAGGCAGCAGUUGGGAAUAUUGGACAAUGGGCGAAAGCCUGAUCCAGCAAUGCCGCGUGAGUGAUGAAGGCCUUAGGGUUGUAAAGCUCUUUUACCCGGGAUGAUAAUGACAGUACCGGGAGAAGAAGCUCCGGCUAACUCCGUG
rnacentral:rRNA from 1 species